rnacentral:rRNA from 1 species
UGGGGAAUAUUGCACAAUGGGGGAAACCCUGAUGCAGCAACGCCGCGAGAGUGAUGACGGUCUUCGGAUUGUAAAGCUCUGUCUUCAGGGACGAUAAUGACGGUACCUGAGGAGGAAGCCACGGCUAACUACGUGCCAGCAGCCGCGGUAAUACGUAGGUGGCAAGCGUUGUCCGGAUUUACUGGGCGUAAAGGGAGCGUAGGUGGAUAUUUAAGUGGGAUGUGAAAUACUCGGGCUUAACCUGGGUGCUGCAUUCCAAACUGGAUAUCUAGAGUGCAGGAGAGGAAAGUAGAAUUCCUAGUGUAGCGGUGAAAUGCGUAGAGAUUAGGAAGAAUACCAGUGGCGAAGGCGACUUUCUGGACUGUAACUGACACUGAGGCUCGAAAGCGUGGGGAGCAAACA